AUCUUGUGGUGAGGACAUGAGUCUAGGAGAUUCUUGAAGCGUUCUCAAUACUCAUAGAGGGUCUCUGAUUUACCUUGAAUGACACAAGAAAUCUCCUUCCUCAAUCU